UUGCCUCGUUGGUCCACUUGUCUGCUGGGAUUAGGCUAAGUAAGAGCCCACAUACAUCGCCCCCUCCGCUCCCUUUCUUUCGCGUACACGCAAGCGGUCCCGUCUCUCUCACACCACCUAUCGGCCGCCGUCGUCGCCUCUCCCAUCCGCCGUGCCCUAGGCCCCUUCUCUCUCGUCGAUCUGCGGCGGGUUCGGGGACACGCAAGGACGGAGAGGAUCCCGAUGGUGGUUGGGUGCCGUUGACCUCGUGCAUGGAGGCGAGGCAGAGGGUAGCGGCGGCGCCGCCGAUCACCGCGACGACAGGCGGCAGUUUGAGGGGCGGGGAGGUCGGGGAUGGAUGGAUCCGGCAGCCCCUGUACGGAUUCGAGGCGGUGGGCGCUCGGGGUCGCCGGCCGGAGCGGAUCGACGGCGGACGCGGCCAUGGUUUCCCGGCGGAACUCCAGCGUGAGCAGAAAGGCGGCGCGGGCGGGCGACGACUUCCGGCUAGGGAGAGGAGGUCGCAGGACGGCACGCUCAGCUCCGGCGGCAAGGCAUGGUUGCGGGCUAGGAUGAUGAGACCGUGGGUCGUGAAUGUGGAUGGGUGGUUUUGAAUCGUUGACACAUGGUUUGCUUGAGACAAGCGAAGCUGCUGAGGUGAUUUGUACACCUAAACUGCUUCAGGUUAAUGUCAAGGGCUUGAAAGGUGUGAGGGAAGUAAAGAUGGAUCUAUACAUAGGGUGUAUGAUCUAGUGCAUAUUAGAUAAUCAAAGUUGAUGCAUAUGUUACAGGUAUAGAGUUGUGCACCAAUCUAGUUGAUGUUCACAUAAUCCCCAAGCUGAUUUAUCGAUUAGAAGAGUCAUGUAUUAUUGUAGCUUUCUCUCUACAUCAAGUACACAUAAAUAUAAUGCCGAAGAAUGUAGUUUCUUUCAUUGUUCUGCAGAUCUUCCCCGCGAGGUGCUACAAAUCAGAUGGGCGCUGUCGUGAAGGCCGCGAAGGUGUGGCCGGUGGCACAGGUUAGCCUGUGGGUGGCACCAUCGUGCUGCUCUAGACGUGCAUUGUGGUGCUGCUCGUGGCGGCUUUCGGAGGGAGACAGAGUGUAGAACAUAGAGAGUUUGGGAGCUACUCGGGUUUGGAUCAGCAAGCCAUGUCUGUUUGGUUUGGCAAAGGAAGAUUUUAGCAGCAUUGCUACACCUCUCAAUGAGAUUACAAAGAAGGAUGUGCCUU